UCAAGGAUGGUGAAAUUGUGAAAGAAGCUUUCAUGGAAGCUGCAGAUGUGCUCUUUGCCGAUUUUAAAAAUCAGAAGGAGAUCGUGUCUGCAGGAUGUGCAGCUCUCAAGAAAGUCUGUUGCACGACGAUGCGAGUUAAUGGCGGAGGAUAUUGAUCGGCAACUGAGGAAUGAUAUUGAGAUGGUACACAGCAACGACUCGACAGACUGGAGUCAAAGGUGGACCGCAUACUACAACUACUGUGAGGAAUCAGGCUGCUGAAGAAGCUGACUGCAUUGGAGAUAAUGCAGGCCAGACUUAAAACAACGGAGGAGCUGGACCAAUUCAGCAAAACGCUGGAGGACCAGGAGUUUAGGAGGACAGUGGUGAAUCUGCUGAAACAGCUAUCUGGAUCAAUGCUGAACUCCUUUGCCAGGACGAUGCUCGG